CGAGCGGUAACAGGGGUAGCUUGCUACCCGCUGACGAGCGGCGGACGGGUGAGUAAUGCAUAGGAAUUUACCCGAUAGUGGGGGAUAACCUGGGGAAACCCAGGCUAAUACCGCAUACGUCCUACGGGAGAAAGGGGGCUUCGGCUCCCGCUAUCGGAUGAGCCUAUGCCGGAUUAGCUGGUUGGUGAGGUAAUGGCUCACCAAGGCGACGAUCCGUAGCUGGUCUGAGAGGAUGAUCAGCCACAUCGGGACUGAGACACGGCCCGAACUCCUACGGGAGGCAGCAGUGGGGAAUAUUGGACAAUGGGCGCAAGCCUGAUCCAGCCAUGCCGCGUGUGUGAAGAAGGCCCUCGGGUUGUAAAGCACUUUCAGCGAGGAAGAACGCCUGGCGGUUAAUACCCGCCAGGAAAGACAUCACUCGCAGAAGAAGCACCGGCUAACUCCGUGCCAGCAGCCGCGGUAAUACGGAGGGUGCAAGCGUUAAUCGGAAUUACUGGGCGUAAAGCGCGCGUAGGUGGCUUGAUAAGCCGGUUGUGAAAGCCCCGGGCUCAACCUGGGAACGGCAUCCGGAACUGUCAGGCUAGAGUACAGGAGAGGAAGGUAGAAUUCCCGGUGUAGCGGUGAAAUGCGUAGAGAUCGGGAGGAAUACCAGUGGCGAAGGCGGCCUUCUGGACUGACACUGACACUGAGGUGCGAAAGCGUGGGUAGCAAACAGGAU
rnacentral:rRNA from 1 species